GCAACUGAACUGGGUGGAGGAAAUUUUAAAAAAAUAACUGGAAACAAAUGAAAAUGGAAAUACAACAGUUCAAAAUAUUUGGGAGGCAGCAAAAACAGUUCUCAGAAGAAAGUUAAUAGCAAU